rnacentral:rRNA from 1 species
ACAGGUCAGCAUACUGUGGUGAAUACGUUCCCGGGCCUUGUACACACCGCCCGUCACACCAUGAGAGUUGAGAAUACCCGAAGCCCAUGUCAAAGUGGUCGAAGGUAGGCUUGAUGAUUGGGUGAAGUCGUAACAAGGUACC